rnacentral:rRNA from 1 species
CCUACGGGAGGCAGCAGUAGGGAAUAUUGCUCAAUGGGGGAAACCCUGAAGCAGCAACGCCGCGUGAAGGAUGAAGGUUUUAGGGUUUUAAACUCCUUUUGUGAGAGAAGAUAAUUACGGUAUCUGACGAAUACUCACCGGCUAACUACGUGCCAGCAGCCGCGGUAAUACGGAGGGGGCAAGCGUUAUUCGGAAUUACUGGGCGUAAAGGGGGCGUAGGCGGGUUUUGAAGUCAGAUGUGAAAGUCUGGAGCUUAACCGCAGAACUGCAUUUGAAACUAUGAGUCUAGAGUGCAGUAGAGGUAGGUGGAAUUCGUGGUGUAGGGGUGAAAUGCGUAGAUAUCAAGAGGAACACUGAUUGCGAAGGCGGCUUACUGGA